GACGAACGCUGGCGGCGUGCUUAACACAUGCAAGUCGAACGGAAAGGCCCUGCUUUUGUGGGGUGCUCGAGUGGCUAACGAAUGAGUAACACGUGAGUAACCUGCCCUUGACUUUGGGAUAACUUCAGGAAACUGGGGCUAAUACCUGAUAGGAGCUCCUGCUGCAUGGUGUGGGUUGGAAAGUUUCGGCGGUUGGGGAUGGACUCGCGGCUUAUCAGCUUGUUGGUGGGGUAGUGGAUUACCAAGGCUUUGACGGGUAGCCGGACUGAGAGGGUGACAGGCCACAGAGGGACUGGGAUACGGGCAAGACGCAUACGGGAGGAAGGAGUGGGGAAUAGUGGAAAAAGGGCGGAAGCAGGAAUGAGCAACGCCGCGUGGGGGAGGACUGCCUUCGGGUUGGAAACCGUUUUCGCCGGUGACGAAGAGGGAGUGACGGUAAUGGGUAAAGAAGCAACGGCUAACUACGUG
rnacentral:rRNA from 1 species